AGAGUUUGAUCCUGGCUCAGGACGAACGCUGGCGGCGUGCUUAACACAUGCAAGUCGAGCGGAAAGGCCUUUCGGGGUACUCGAGCGGCGAACGGGUGAGUAACACGUGAGUAAUCUGCCCAUCGCUUCAGGAUAGCCAUCGGAAACGGUGAUUAAUACUGGAUAUGACAUUCCUUCGCAUGUUGGGGUGUGGAAAGUUUUUUCGGCGGUGGAUGUGCUCGCGGCCUAUCAGCUUGUUGGUGGGGUAAUGGCCUACCAAGGCUUUGACGGGUAGCCGGCCUGAGAGGGUGACCGGCCACACUGGGACUGAGACACGGCCCAGACUCCUACGGGAGGCAGCAGUGGGGAAUAUUGGACAAUGGGCGGAAGCCUGAUCCAGCAACGCCGCGUGAGGGAUGACGGCCUUCGGGUUGUAAACCUCUUUCAGCACAGACGAAGUUUUGCUUUUUUGGGUGAAGUGACGGUAUGUGCAGAAGAAGGACCGGCCAACUACGUGCCAGCAGCCGCGGUAAUAC
rnacentral:rRNA from 1 species